UACAGAGGGUGCGAGCGUUAAUCGGAAUAACUGGGCGUAAAGGGUGCGUAGGCGGUUAUGUAAGUGUGAUGUGAAAGCCCCGGGCUUAACCUGGGAAGUGCAUCGCAAACUAUAUAGCUGGAGUAUAAGAGAGGGUGGCGGAAUUUCCGGUGUAGCGGUGAAAUGCGUAGAUAUCAAGAGGAACACCUGAGGUGAAGACGGGUUGCUGGGCCGACACUGACGCUGAGUGCGCGAAAGCCAGGGGAGCAAACGGG
rnacentral:rRNA from 1 species